CAGUUUCACUUGAACAAUGUUAUGAGCAGUAUCUGUACUUCUUCAAAAAAAAUUAUUUCAACAAUUAUUUAUUAUUCAUCAUAAUCUUUGAUGGCGCUUAUUAUUAAACUACUUGCUUCAUUAAGUUUGAGAGAUUACUUCAUAGAUGGCACAAUAAUUUAUUAUUGUUUCAUAUACCCUGUGGAUAAACAUAGAUGAUAAAGAUAUUAAUUAAUUUUAUAUUAAUAGAUUGGAAUAAAUUUUGAAAAUUACCUUCCGGAACAGCGUGGCUGGUCAUAAGGAAAUUAACGCAAGCUGCUCCAGUUCCAUGUCCAACCAAAGUAACAUUACCAGGAUCGCCACCAAAAUAAACAAUAUUUUCAUGAACCCAAUGUAAGGCAGCAAUUUGAUCCAUAAGACCAUAAUUUGCUGGUGAACGAUAUCGUUUGCUUGCAAUAUCUCUGGAACCAGCUGGAAAAAAAAAAAUAUUUUUCAACUUGAGAUGUGAAAAUAUUUUUUAAAAAUUAAUUUUUCACUCUUACCUUGAACUGGAGCAUAAAUAUUAAGAUAAAGAC